rnacentral:piRNA from 1 species
CUACGGACCACGGAGCGUUUGGAAAGA